rnacentral:rRNA from 1 species
AUACGAAGGGGGCUAGCGUUGUUCGGAAUUACUGGGCGUAAAGCGCAUGUAGGCGGACAUUUAAGUCAGGGGUGAAAUCCCGGGGCUCAACCUCGGAACUGCCUUUGAUACUGGGUGUCUAGAGUGUGGAAGAGGUAAGUGGAAUUCCGAGUGUAGAGGUGAAAUUCGUAGAUAUUCGGAGGAACACCAGUGGCGAAGGCGACUAACUGGACUGUAACUGACGCUGAGGCGCGAAAGUGUGGGGAGC